UACGUAGGGUGCAAGCGUUAAUCGGAAUUACUGGGCGUAAAGCGUGCGCAGGCGGUUAUGUAAGACAGAUGUGAAAUGCCCGGGCUUAACCUGGGAACUGCAUUUGUGACUGCAUGGCUAGAGUUUGGCAGAGGGGGGGUAGAAUUCCACGUGUAGCAGUGAAAUGCGUAGAUAUGUGGAGGAACACCGGUGGCGAAGGCGGGUCUCUGGGCCGUAACUGACGCUGAGGAGCGAAAGCAUGGGGAGCGAACAGG
rnacentral:rRNA from 1 species